rnacentral:rRNA from 1 species
AUACAGAGGGGGCAAGCGUUAUUCGGAAUUAUUGGGCGUAAAGGGCGCGUAGGCGGUUUUUUAAGUCGGAUGUGUAAUCCCCGAGCUCAACUUGGGAACUGCAUCUGAGACUGGAAGGCUAGAGUACUGGAGAGGGUGGUAGAAUUCCACGUGUAGCGGUGAAAUGCGUAGAGAUGUGGAGGAAUACCAGUGGCGAAGGCGGCCACCUGGACAGUAACUGACGCUGAGGCGCGAAAGUGUGGGUAGCAAACAGGAUUAGAUACCCUGGUAGUCCACGCUGUAAACGAGGAACACUUGGUGUGGUGGGAGUUGACCCCUGCCGUGCCGGAGCUAACGCGUUAAGUGUUCCGCCUGGGGAGUACGGUCGCAAGGCUGAA